GGCUCCAUGGUCUAGUGGUACGAUUCGUGCUUUGGGCUACUACGCAAGCAACUGCACGAGGUCCCGGGUUCGAUCCCCGGUGGAGCCC